GACGGUGGUUGAUGCUGGUCGGUUCAGUCCGAUUGUGGCCUCCGUUUGAUUCGAAUUCCUCGACGUAUACGCAUUGAGGUUCGCCGUCUUCUCCAACAUUACCAUAUGGUUACACGCGUCGCUUGUGGAACAACAAGGAAUUGGGUAGCGGAAUUGACAGGUCCUGACCUCCUCCCACAGUAGCAUGGUGGAUCGAUCAUUUGGAGCUUAUCAUUUCCACCAUCUUUUCCAAACUUAUCCUCCACGAUUCUCUUGCGGACAAAACACAAUGGUAUGAGGACGAGCAAGUGGAAAUAAACAUGUAUCUGCGCCAAAAGGAGCAAUCAUCUGUUCUAUCUCUGAAAAGGACCAACCAUGCACUCCCAUGCGCUGCAAACUAUUCUCACUAUAGCACUUUUUGCUCAACUCUAAUGGGUUUGAUCUCCAUUGGCGGAAACUGUAGUAGGAGCUUGAAAUCAAUUGUCAACAAUUCAAUUCGUCACAUGCUACAAGAGAAAAUUAUCGAUCAUAUGUUGGAUCACACAGGCCCCAUCAGAAUUGACUCUGUACCUGUUGACCUGAAAUAAACGUAUAAUUUGAACUCGUUACUCGA